rnacentral:rRNA from 1 species
AUUGAACGCUGGCGGCAGGCCUAACACAUGCAAGUCGAGCGGAGCGGCUGACGGGUGAGUAAUUCCUAGGAAUCUGCCUGGUAGCGGGGGAUAACGUCCGGAAACGGGCGCUAAUACCGCAUACUAUCAGAUGAGCCUAGGUCGGAUGAUGUGGUUGGUGGGGUAAAGGCCUACCAAGGCGACGAUCCGUAACUGGUCGGAGAGGCUGAUCAGUCACACUGGAACUGUGACACGGUCCAGACUCCUACGGAAGGCAGCGUUGGGGAAUAUUGGCCAAUGGGCGAAAGCCUGACCCAGCCAUGCCGCGUGUGUGAGGAAGGUCUUCGGAUUGUAAAGCACUUUAAGUUGGGAGGCGUUACCAACAGAAUAAGCACCGGCUAACUUCGUGCCAGCAGCCGCGGUAAUAC